CACUGACAUUAGAUACCCGCGUAGUCCCAGCCGUAAACAAUGUGCGUUAGGUGUGUCGGUAACCACGUGUUACUGAUGCGCCGAAGAGAAAUCGUGAAACGCACCACCUGGGAAGUACGGUCGCAAGGCUGAAACUUAAAGGAAUUGGCGGGGAGCACCACAACAGGUGGAGCCUGCGGUUUAAUUGGAUUCAACGCCGGACAUCUCACCGGAUAAGACAGCUGAAUGAUUGUCAAUCUGAAGGUUUUACAUGACUAGCUG
rnacentral:rRNA from 1 species